AUGCACCUCGCCUUACAUCUCAGAGCCCGUCUGGACUCGCCUCUCUUUCCCAAUUGCUGCUCUGCUCGCUGCAAACACGAGGGAGACGCUUUCAUUGACAACCAUUUUCUCCGCCUCACCAGAAGCGCACAAGACGAGAAGCAGGGCGGAACCGGUCGAGCCUACUACACUGAACCCUUCCUGCUCCGAGAAAAUGCCACCGGAAAACUCGCCGAUUUCACCACAAAUUUCACAUUCUCCAUUUAUGCGCCAGAUGAUGCAAAAUUACCAUUUGGUGCCGGUGAUGGACUAGCCUUCUUUAUAGCGCCAAACGGAUCCAAACUCAAUCGCUCAGCAGAUGGGGGCGUUUCUCUCGGCCUCCCCUUCUAUCAGCAGUACCCAUUUGUGGCGGUGGAAUUUGAUAUCUACAUGAACACAGCCGAACGCACCUCCGACACAAAUGAAACCGUGGACGACCAAUCUGAAGAACUUCGGGGUAUCGACGGAGAUCAUGUGGGUAUCGACGUCAACUCUGUCAAGUCGUUGAAAGCCCUGGCUUGGAAUGGUAGUAGCAUCGAUGGAGAAAAUAAUGAUGUCCAGAUCAGUUACAACUCUAGCACAGAAAAGCUGAGUGUUGCCUUCACAACUUUUGUGUCUGCCGGAAAAAAAAAUACGAGCUAUUUAUCUUACACAGUUGAUCUGAAGCUUACCUUACCCGAUUGGGUCAUUGUCGGGUUCUCUGCUUCAACAGGUGCAGCUUCUGCUAUACACAAGAUCGUCUCGUGGAAUUUCACUUCAACUCCUCUGGUUGAUGAGAAUGCCAGGGACAAGACACCGGUAAGUCUACUCUCUGUUCCUGCGCCUAGCCCUGUAGCUAGUUCUGUAACUAGUUCUAAUCCCAACUCCGGCAAUAAAGGACUAGUUGUUGGGUUAGGGAUUGGAGCAAGUAUUAUUCUAGUUGGUGGGCUGGCUCUGGUCUGGUUUAUCUUGUUGAAGAAAAAUGAAACGAUGGACAGUGAUGAGGAUCCUAUGGUUGGUGAUGCCAUUGACGAUGAAUUUGAACAAGGGACUGGCCCUAGAAAGUUUUUGUACGGGGAAUUAGUCCGGGCAACUGGUAACUUUGAAGAGGAACAGAAGCUCGGGCAGAGAGGAUUUGGUGGGGUUUAUAAGGGGUUCAUAAAGGACUUGAACUCAUAUGUAGCUGUGAAGAGGAUAUCCAAGGGAUCUAAACAAGGAAUGAAGGAGUACGCUACAGAAGUAAGGAUCAUCAGUCGACUUAGGCAUCGGAAUCUGGUUCAACUCCUUGGUUGGUGCCACAAAAAGAAAGAACUCCUGCUUGUUUACGAGUUCAUGCCCAACUGCAGUUUAGAUUCACAUUUGUUCAAACAAAAGAGUUUGUUAACUUGGGAGACCAGGUACAAAAUAGCUCAAGGAUUGGCAUCCGGGUUGCUCUAUCUACAUGAUGGAUGGGAACAAUGCGUUUUGCACAGGGACAUCAAAUCCAGUAACAUCAUGUUAGACUCUAAUUUCAACGCCAAACUUGGGGAUUUUGGAUUAGCUCGGCUAGUGGAUCAUGGCAAGCAAUCACAAACAACGGUUUUGGCUGGAACAAUGGGAUACAUGGCUCCUGAAUGUGUUACCACUGGAAAAGCUAGUAAGGAAACGUCGCUUUGGAGAUAGCAUGUGGGAGAACACCGAUUGAUCUCAACAUGGAAAGAGAUCAAAUCAAUAUUGUAGAAUGGGUUUGGAAGCUUUAUGGAGAAGGCAGCAUCAUUGAAGCAGCCGAUCCGAAACUCUGCGGUAAAUUUGAUGAGAAACAAGUAGAGUGUUUAAUGAUUGUUGGGUUGUGGUGCGCUCACCCAGACUACAUAAUGAGGCCUUCGAUACAGCAAGCGAUUCAAGUACUCAACUUCGAAGUUCCGGUGCCAGUUCUUCCAUCAAAAUUGCCUGUGGCAACCUAUUUGGCUUCUGCAGUAUCGUUCUCCAAGUUUUCCGACAAUAAUAGUAAUAGUGGUUUAAGUACAGAUCAAAGCGUGCCUUUUACCGGUGGUUAUAGCACAUAUUCCUCUCAGGUUACCGCAUCUGCUACAACAAGCUCUUAUCCAUCGACAUCCUUUUAG